UUUCCGCCGGCAAACAAGUCUCCUUUGAUCUUCUUGGGAAGUGUUUGGACCUUACCAUUUGGAGUCUAGGGUUGGGGAAUGGAGUCGGACGCUUGGGCGUGC